rnacentral:lncRNA from 1 species
AAUAAGGUCAUUCUCUCUCAAAAUCACCAAGAAAACUUCUUAGGGUUUCAACCCAAAGAUCAAAAUAUCUUAAGAUUUCACCGUGGGUUUUCAAUAAUUCUUCGAGAUUCGGAAUCCCCAUUGCGAGGGCUACAAGAAGCACCCAUCAAUUGUUCGAAUAGCAUUCCUAAAGCACGAGUUCAUUCAAGAGUCACAAAUUAAGGUACGCGGGGUUUUUCUAAAUUCUC